AGCAGCUGGUCCUGGAACCCACAAGGGGAGAGGCAAUUCUUGAUUUAGUUCUAAGUGGGGCACAGGAUCUGGUAAAAGAGGUGAAUAUAGCCGAACCACUUGGUAAUAAUGACCAUAAUAUAAUUAGGUUAAACAUCCCUGUGAAAACACCACAGCAGCUCAACAUGAUAGCGUUUAAUUUCAGAAAGGGGAACUACACAAAAAU